rnacentral:rRNA from 1 species
UGAGUACGAGAUGCUACGGCAUCGAAGCAGUCUAUGUCAUACUUCCAAGAAAAGCUUGCAAUGUCAUAAACAAAUAAUGCCUGUACCAUAACCGACACAGGUGGGUAGGUAGAGUAUACUAAGGGGCGCGAGAUAACUCUCUCUAAGGAACUCGGCAAAAUGACUCCGUAACUUCGGGAGAAGGAGUGCCUUAUUUUUAUAAGGUUGCAAUAACAAGAUCCAAGCAACUGUUUACCAAAAACACAGGUCUCCGCUAAGUCGUAAGACGAUGUAUGGGGGCUGACGCCUGCCCAGUGCCAGAAGGUUAAAGAAGUUGGUUAGCAUUAGCGAAGCUGAUAACUGAAGCCCUGGUGAACGGCGGCCGUAACAAUAACGGUCCUAAGGUAGCGAAAUUCCUUGUCGGGUAAGUUCCGACCCGCACGAAAGGCGUAAUGAUUUGGAUACUGUCUCGGAGAGGGGCUCGGUGAAAUAGACUUGUCUGUGAAGAUGCGGACUACCUGCACCUGGACAGAAAGACCCUAUGAAGCUUACUGUAACUUGAGAUUGAAAUUGGACUUUAUCUGCGCAGUAUAGGUGGGAGACGUUGAAAAUAUUCUUGCGGGAAUAUUGGAGUCAUCAGUGAGAUACCACUCUUAUAAUGUUAGAUUUCUAACUUUGUAUCAUUAUCUGGUCAAAGAACAGUUUCAGGCGGGCAGUUUGACUGGGGCGGUCGCCUCCCAAACGGUAACGGAGGCGCACAAAGGUUUCCUCUGAACGUGUAGAAAUCGUAUCUAGAGUGUAAAGGCAUAAGGAAGCUUGACUGUGAGACCUACAAGUCGAGCAGGGACGAAAGUCGGUCUUAGUGAUCUGACGGUGCUGAGUGGAAAGGCCGUCACUCAACGGAUAAAAGUUACUCUAGGAUAACAGGCUGAUCUCCCCCAAGAGUUCACAUCGACGGGGAGGUUUGGCACCUCGAUGUCGGCUCAUCGCAUCCUGGGGCGGUAGUACGUCCCAAGGGUUGGGCUGUUCGCCCAUGAAAGCGGUACGCGAGCUGGGUUCAGAACGUCGUGAGACAGUUCGGUCCAUAUCCGGUGUAGGCGUUAGAAUAUUGAGAGGAGCCUUCUUUAGUACGAGAGGACCGAGAAGGACAUACCUCUGGUGUACCAGUUAUCGUGCCAACGGUAAACGCUGGGUAGCCAUGUAUGGAGAGGAUAACCGCUGAAAGCAUCUAAGUGGGAAGCCCACCUCAAGAUAAGUAUUCUC